CUCUGGGCUCUGGGUGCUGCUUUCCCAGUGCUUCCACUGGGUCCCACUGCCUCCUUGCCCACUUGUAGGCAAUCUAGGCACAGUCUUUAAAACACAGGGGCCCCAAAGAGCCAGGUGCCUGGGAAGCAGAGUCCCCAGCAGAGGUGAGGAGGGGAGGGCUCUUCCGCUUGGUGGGCAGGAUCUUCCUGCAAUACCCAUCGAGGGCAACAAUAGGAUCAGUGGCAUCUGCUCAGGGUGGAGACACUGUGCCCUGAAACAGCAGUUGGCGAAUGGCAGAGGGACCAGGAGACCGCAAAGGAACGGAAUCAUGAGGCCAGUUUCCCUGGAGCCCGGUGCCCUGGGCCUCCCUGCUGCCAGGCUGAGCCAGGCCAGGUCCCUGAGAAGCAGCCAUCUGGCUUCAAGGCUCUGCCACAGAACCGAAGCAGCCCUGUUGUGAGGGCACAACUGCCGAGGAAAUGCCCUGGGAGCCCAGGUUGGUUGCAGUAUGGAUGUGCAUAGAACACCAAUGAGUAGUUUAUACUUGAGAGGGAUAAAUGUACACAGAAGAUGGCACGGCCCUCCCUCCUCCAGGACACAAGCCCAGCUCCUUCAACUAAUCCUGGGGUGGAGAAGCCAAGCACAGGCUGCCGAACCUCCCUGCUGGAGUGUGGAUCUGGAGCGUUCCGUGAAGACUAUGUAUGAAAGGUCUGGGCCCCAGAUGAUGGUGCUUCUGGGAGAUGGAGAUAUCUUUAGGGGCAUGGCCUAGUGGGAGGAGGUUAGGUCAUUGAGGGUGUGCCUUUGGGUGGGAGUAAUGGGAUUGCCACUUUUUUCUCUCUCUUUCACUUCUGGCCAACAUGAGGUGAGUGGCUUCCUCCACCACAUGGUCCCACCAUGAUGAACUGCCUUACCACAGCCCAAGGCAACACAGCCAAGUGACCAGGGACUAAAGCCUCUGAAAUACCUGCCCGGGAUAUCAUGACAGGAGCAGAGGAGUUAUUUCCCACGUGAACUUGGAAAUGAGCCUUCCCAGAGAAGGCAGGUGUGGGCUGGCAGACACCAGCCAUUCUCUGUGUCCGGAGAACAAGCAGUCACAACCAGGCUCAGCCCCAAGACUACUUCACGGUGCACAGCUGCAGACUUUGGACCCAUCCGCCAAUGAUGGACCACAGAAUUCAUCUUGUGUUCCUGGUAAUGACAUAAACCCCUAAAGAUCAGCAGCCACAUAUCACACAUAGUAGGCCCUCAACAAACAUGAGGAUUUUCAGAUUAUGUCACAGUGUUUGGAUUCCACUGCUCCUUCUACCCUCUGUUGUUUCUAUGCAACUGUGGGAGAUCUCACCUAUGCCAGGAACCAGGAAUCAGUACCAUCCAAGAGUGGGGGGAUCAUUAAAGUCUGUCUUAGAAAAGCCUGGGGUUCACAUCUUGCUAUUUUCAUAAUUCAGCCCUUCCUCCUCUUGUGUUCACGAGCUAUUUCCCUUACCAAGGUUGCUCUCUGAGAGGCACUCACAGAGGGCAGGGCCAUCCUGGUCCUUUUGGGGAGGGGGUCUAUCAAGGUCACCCUCAGGCCUGAAUGAGGUCAACUUCAAAGAAGAAGUAACAGAGGAAAACUAGCUUCAUAACUUUAAUUUGACAAAAUGGCCUUUAAAAGAAAAUUUAGGUUAGACAGGAUUAGAACUUAAUCACACUCAUUUUCUAACAGUAAAGUAAUAAAAAAGCAUCUUUCUCAUCCCAUUUUACAGGGGCUAUUCCUUCUACUCCUACACAAAUGCUGUCUCUGUCUCCCCACCUCUACCUGAGCAAGACAAAGUGACCCACACACUUUUUGCAACUCAUCUACUAUUAAUAGCAGACUAAGAUCAUUCUUGAGUUAUCUAUCAGCCUCCAUUACCUCCUGCUUAAUGUAUAAUUCGUAUUAAAGGCUAGUGCCAGAGGAGAGGAGCAGCAGGAUGCUCAUGGUACUCUCUAGUCCUUCCCUGGUCCUUUCCCAUCCCCACCUACACUUGCUUAGCUGAGUGAUUCUGAAAAAUCCUCUGCCUCACUGGCACAGGCAUCUUGGUCUACUGCUGGCUCAGGAGCUCCAUUCUACGGAAACACCCUUUUCCAUCUUCACCCUCUCCACACACCAAGCUUUAAAGUGCUCCAAACAUCCAGAGGUGUCUGGUGGGGUGGAGAGAAUUACAGAUUCUUAUGGCCACCAGCCUCUACUUCUUGUCUCAAAUGCAUCCCAGAUGCAAGAAGCACGCUGCCUGGCAGCCACCUCCUCUGGGCCACAUUUCCUUCUGGGCAUUGCCACCACCGCCAGAGGAAGCAGAUCCAGCUCCACACCCCAGCACCUGUGUGUACUCCUCAGCAGUGCUUCUCUUCCAAGGCCUUUUGUGUCCUUGAAAUAGUGGCACUAAAAUGUUCCCGAUUGCAGCUGUUCACUGGAUUAUUCUAGUUCACACUGCAAUGACGGGCUGUGGAAGCGGGCACUUGAGACAAAAAUAGGCAUUAUUUAUGGUGCUUGCUUCUUGGUCUUUACAUCUUUGGGGGAGGGCAACUACUUUUUGUUUGCCAAUGUUCCGUGAUAGGCCAGUGAAGCCAGUGUGAAAGGACAUUUGCUGACAGUGCACACACAGAGGGGGAAGGCAGGGCCUGGUGGUCUGUGCCUCCCCCCUGAAGCAUCCUGGAAGCCACCAACAAGGAUGGGUCCUGGAAAAGCCACUCUUGAGCACCAGUGCCCAGGCUACGGCCCUCCCUUCCUGGGCCCAGAGCAGAGCCUACAGACCAACUGGCCUCUCCCCCAGCCUCCUCUGUCUGCAAAAUAAAGCCCACCCUAUAUGACAAUUAGGGGUGCUGGCCAGAGUUCCCUGCUCACUGCAUAGCCACGGCUGUCACCAUUUUCCCCUCCCGGUUGCCUUGGAUGAGGCCACUGUUUGCACAUGAGGGGCCUUUGUGGACAUGCUCUCCAGAGCCUGUGAGUCAGUUUUCAGAGGCUUCUUCACAAGGCUGCAAAGGAAAACCUCAAUUUUGGCAUUUCCUUGAAAAAAAUACCCGAGGUUUCUUCUUGCAGCUUGAUAUUAGCUUGUGUUGUUAGAACGAUACCCAAGAGCUGGGCAGCCAUUCCUGCCUUAGUGAUGUUUCUGAGUGCUGUGAACCAUCACUCCACCCCAGGAGGGGUCAGCAAGACUCCCCGUUUGCAGAUGCUGAAACUGAGGCUCAGAGGAUCAAGUGCUAUUUGCUCAUCACUACAGAAGCAGGAGAGGAGGUGGAUUUGUCCCCAGACGACCUGACCCUGACUCCUAGUCCCCACAAGAUGCUCUGGUUUCUCCCAGUCUAACUCACUCUAUAAGAUCAGUUAUUUCAGUUCCCUAGGAUAGAGAAAGCCAUCUUCUAAUACUUAGAUGCUCCUUUCGAUUCUCUGUGUGAAGUACUCUAGGAGAUCUCACUAUUUAAUAGAUUGUUAUCCCUGCACUGCCUUUUCAGAAGAAAUCUGAUGUGGCAAAGUAUUUGGAUUUUGUUUUCAGUCUAUUUUUGCAGUGCUGGGAAUGGUACCCCACUCCAGAAUGCUUAGCUUUUACUUUACGAGUGAGAUUUCCCUCUCUUGACUCAAGUAUUCCCUGACGAUAUCAAUGAAAGUAUCUUGC
rnacentral:lncRNA from 1 species